rnacentral:rRNA from 1 species
GUGGGGAAUAUUGGACAAUGGGGGGAACCCUGAUCCAGCCAUGCCGCGUGUGUGAAGAAGGCCUUUUGGUUGUAAAGCACUUUAAGCGAGGAGGAGGCUACCGAGAUUAAUACUCUUGGAUAGUGGACGUUACUCGCAGAAUAAGCACCGGCUAACUCUGUGCCAGCAGCCGCGGUAAUACAGAGGGUGCAAGCGUUAAUCGGAUUUACUGGGCGUAAAGCGCGCGUAGGUGGCCAAUUAAGUCAAAUGUGAAAUCCCCGAUCUUAACUUUGGAAUUGCAUGCGAUACUGGUUGGCUAGAGUAUGGGAGAGGAUGGUAGAAUUCCAGGUGUAGCGGUGAAAUGCGUAGAGAUCUGGAGGAAUACCGAUGGCGAAGGCAGCCAUCUGGCCUAAUACUGACACUGAGGUGCGAAAGCAUGGGGAGCAAACAGGAUUAGAAACCCUUGUAGUCC